rnacentral:rRNA from 1 species
AAUGAACGCUGGCGGCAUGCCUAACACAUGCAAGUCGAACGAAGGCUUCGGCCUUAGUGGCGCACGGGUGCGUAACGCGUGGGAAUCUGCCCCUGGGUUCGGAAUAACAGUUAGAAAUGACUGCUAAUACCGGAUGAUGACGUAAGUCCAAAGAUUUAUCGCCGAGGGAUGAGCCCGCGUAGGAUUAGCUAGUUGGUGUGGUAAGAGCGCACCAAGGCGACGAUCCUUAGCUGGUAUGAGAGGAUGAUCAGCCACACUGGGACUGAGACACGGCCCAGACUCCUACGGGAGGCAGCAGUGGGGAAUAUUGGACAAUGGGCGAAAGCCUGAUGCAGCAAUGCCGCGUGAGUGAUGAAGGCCUUAGGGUUGUAAAGCUCUUUUACCCGGGAUGAUAAUGACAGUACCGGGAGAAUAAGCUCCGGCUAACUCCGUG